GACGAACGCUGGCGGCGUGCUUAACACAUGCAAGUCGAACGAUGAAGAAAAGAAUUGAAGCUUCGGCAGAAAUUCAUUUCGGAUUAGUGGCAGACGGGUGAGUAACGCGUGAGCAACCUACCUCUUACAAAGGGAUAGCCUCGGGAAACCGGGAUUAAUACCAUAUAACAUUGCGACGAAGCAUUUCGAUGCAAUCAAAGCUACGGCGGUAAGAGAUGGGCUCGCGUCCCAUUAAUCAGAUGGUGAGGUAACGGCUCACCAUAGUAACGAUGGGUAACCGGCCUGAGAGGGUGAGCGGUCACACUGGAACUGAGACACGGUCCAGACUCCUACGGGAGGCAGCAGUGGGGAAUAUUGCACAAUGGAGGGAACUCUGAUGCAGCGACGCCGCGUGAGUGAUGAAGGAAUUCGUUUCGUAAAACUCUGUUCUAUGGGAAGAAAAGGACUGUACCAUAGGAGAAAGCUCCGGCUAAAUACGUG
rnacentral:rRNA from 1 species